rnacentral:rRNA from 1 species
GAUCCUGGCUCAGGAUGAACGCUGGCGGCGUGCCUAAUACAUGCAAGUCGAACGCUGGAGAUCUAGCUUGCUAGAUCGAAGGAGUGGCGAACGGGUGAGUAAUACAUAAGCAACCUACCCACGAAGACUGGGAUAAUCUCUGGAAACGGGGACUAAUACCGGAUAGGUAAUCGGAAGGCAUCUUCUGGUUAUUAAAGGUUAAAAACACUGGUGGAUGGGCUUAUGGCGCAUUAGUUAGUUGGUGAGGUAACGG